rnacentral:rRNA from 1 species
CCUACGGGAGGCAGCAGUAGGGAAUCUUCCGCAAUGGACGAAAGUCUGACGGAGCAACGCCGCGUGAACGAUGAAGGCCUUCGGGUCGUAAAGUUCUGUUGUUAGGGAAGAACAAGUGCUAGUUAAAUAAGCUGGCACCUUGACGGUACCUAACCAGAAAGCCACGGCUAACUACGUGCCAGCAGCCGCGGUAAUACGUAGGUGGCAAGCGUUGUCCGGAAUUAUUGGGCGUAAAGCGCGCGCAGGCGGUUUCUUAAGUCUGAUGUGAAAGCCCCCGGCUCAACCGGGGAGGGUCAUUGGAAACUGGGAAACUUGAGUGCAGAAGAGGAAAGUGGAAUUCCAAGUGUAGCGGUGAAAUGCGUAGAGAUUUGGAGGAACACCAGUGGCGAAGGCGACUUUCUGGUCUGUAACUGACGCUGAGGCGCGAAAGCGUGGGGAGCAAACAGGAUUAGAUACCCUGGUAGUCCACGCUGUAAACGAUGAGUGCUAAGUGUUAGAGGGUUUCCGCCUUUAGUGCUGAAGUUAACGCAUUAAGCACUCCGCCUGGGGAUACGGUCGCAAGACUGAAACUCAAAUGAAUUGACGGCNGAGAGNGCGAGACGACGACGAGGGAGAG